CAGCAGCCGCGGUAAAACGAACCGUGCGAACGUUAUUCGGAAUUACUGGGCUUAAAGCGCGUGUAGGCGGAUCGCCACGUCGGUCGCUGAAAUCCCCCGGCUCAACCGGGGAACGGGCGCCGAUACGGGCGGUCUCGAGGGGGGUAGGGGGGACUGGAACUUUCGGUGGAGCGGUGAAAUGCGUUGAGAUCGGAAGGAACGCCCGUGGCGAAAGCGAGUCCCUGGACCCCUUCUGACGCUGAGACGCGAAAGCCAGGGGAGCGAACGGGAUUAGAUACCCCUGUAGUCCCUGUCUCUUAUA
rnacentral:rRNA from 1 species